AAUAGGUAGCUGAGAUAGGGCAUUCUUUAACCAAAUUCUGACAUAGGGCGCCUUUCAAUCAAGUUCUGAAGUAAGGCGUUUAUGAAAAGUUUUCUGAGAUAUAGCGUUUUUGAGCUGGCUGCCG